GCAAAAAAAGUAAGAUUUAAAUCAGCAACAUCGGCAGAGAGGAUCGGUGGAUUCUAAUCCCAAAUUUUAUUGUGAAGAUAUGGACAAAAUAAUCCAGAAAGGUGAAGCUUCAAAUGCAAGAGAGGACGGUGGACCAGGGCUCAGACUGCGGAGAAGCACAUUCUAAAUACCUGCAAAAAAGAAGAGAAACUACCACAAUCUACAGCACAAGAGUGCUGUCCAUUUAUCACUGUUUAGAAACGUGUCAUAACUCUUAUCAGAACUGUGGACUUGUGGUAAAUAUUCGAGUCAAAUGCAAAGGAGUGAGAGAGAUUAACUGCACACUAGAAGCUCAGAGGAUUCAGCUGAGGGCCUGGAUCCCAGCAGUUUCCUGGACAAGUCCUCCUCAAGUCCAGCCAGUGGCCUAGAGCCCACAGCACUGUCUCAUGCUGGUCCAUAUUGAGGAUCUGCAGCUGAAAGGCUCAAAGGCCAAUGGUAGAAGCCAGAAAACCUACGCUGGUGAGAUGAAGAAUUUGUGCGAGCAGACUGAGGGAUCCACAUUGGAGCCAGGAAGAGAUGCUCAUGGUGAAGAUCAGAGCUCCCCUGAUGAAAACAGCAGCCAUUCCCAGUGACAGCAAGGCCCUGAGCUCCUCCUCUGAAGGGAGCAGCCUAGUUCACAUCAGGAAAACCAUCUGCAGCAAGCUUCUCCUAGAAAAUCAACAGGGCAAGAUCUUCCCCUCCAGUUUUCUUUUUGUGGCUAUUGGUAACAAUUUUCAGGUGGAUCCUCCACGCCCAGACCACACUGACUCAGUUCACCUGGGCAUUACAAGUUGACUGUUAGUCAAUCCACUACAGGUAUUAAUUUAAAAUCACAUAUCCAAGCCCAUAGUUUCUUUUAGAUUUCUGCUGUACAUAUGUAACAUAUGUACUUUCUCUAACUUUUCUUCCUAAAAGUUUCUGCUUGUAUUAAAUUAUAAAGUAUAUUAUAAGGUGUUUAUGCUUAUACAAGUGAAAGCUUAGGGCCUCCUUGUACUUCAGUGAUGACAACUUAAUAAUACUAGUGUAGUAAAUUUUUAGUUAAUACUUACAUAAAUUCAAUCAACUCCACUAGUUCAAUCUCUAUGGCUUCUCCUUUUCUAGAUUCAUUCAUUCAUCUAUUGGUUGAAGGAUUUUAUUGUCAAUUCUUUUCAAAAAAGAUGCAGAAAGGCUUUUAAUUCCUACAUUUGAAAUCACUUGACUCUUACUCUUUAUGCCUGUGUGCAAAAACAAUAGAAAAUUCUUUGGUGAAACUUUUUCCUCCUCUAAAAAAUUUAUAUGGGU
ensembl:lncRNA